AGCUGUGUUGUUAUCAGACGCAUGUGACACAGUACAAGUAGUGCAUGGACACCCAUUAUCCAUUGUUUCACUCCCACCGUCUGAUCCACUUUAUUCUCAUUUUUUGAUUGAAUCACAACCAUUGCACAAAAGCCCCAUCUGUGUGAUGUCCAUUGUUCAAUCAAGCGUUGACACGUGGCACUGCAAUACUCCAUNNNNNNNNCAAUGGGCCAAUUUAUGGGCCUUGAUGACAAUCUCUAUCUUGACCAUAAUCUCUAAUUUUAGAACCUUGAGGACAAGGUUCGAGUGAACCCGGCGGCAAUGAUAGAAGAUUAGUUAGCAAUGAUAGAAGAUUAGUUAGUAGUUAAUUAAUUAAUUAUUAGGUAGUAUUUAAUUAAGUAAUUUAGAUAGUAAUGAUAUAUAUUAUUUAUAUUAUUAGUUGGUCAUUUAUGUUAUUGGGUUGUUAAAUGGG
rnacentral:lncRNA from 1 species